ensembl:lncRNA
GAGAGAGGGAGGGAUGGAGAGAGCAGUCAGGAGAGAGAGAGGGGGAGGGAUGGAGAGAGCAAGAGAGAGAGGAAGGGGAACCAAUCAAACGCCAUUACAGUCUUGGAAAACCAAUCAAAUGUCGCAGGCUUGGAGCACAAAUCUAGUGGUAGAUCUCAGAGUUGUGACCAGUCAUCACUGACAGCUGUGCCGUCCAAUCAGACGCAUGCGAGCCCCUCAGUCAACCAGUCAGACACCAGGAGUCUUGCUUCUGACCAAUCACAGCAAAGGAGACUCCCUAGUAACCCCAAGAGGGCAGCGGGAAACACACAGCCGGUUGCUCCCGGUGACCAGCCAGCGGUUGCCCCCGGUGACCAGCCAGCGGUUGCUCCCGGUGACCAGCCAGCGGUUGCUCCCGGUGACCAGCCAGCGGUUGCUCCCGGUGACCCGCCUGCUCACGAUGCGGUCACAGCCUCCAGCCAAUCACGAGGCAGAACGCAGCGGAGCUCUUCAGGC